rnacentral:rRNA from 1 species
AACGAACGCUGGCGGCAUGCCUAAUACAUGCAAGUCGAACGAGACCUUCGGGUCUAUUGGCGCACGGCUUCGUAACGCGUGGGAACCUGCCCUUAGGUUCGGAAUAACUCUCCGAAAGGGGUGCUAAUACCGGAUAAUGUCUUCUGCCCAAUGAUUUAUCGCCUUUGGUGGGGCCCGCGUUGGAUUAGCUAGUUAGUAGGGUAAAAGCAUACUAAGGCGAGAAUGCAUAGAUGGUAAGAGAGGAUGAUCAGCCACUCUGAGACUAAGACGCGGCCCAGAAUCCUACGGGAGGCAGCAGAGGGGGAUGUUGCAAAGUGGGCGGAAGGCUGAACCAGCAAGGCCGGGUGAGUGAUGAAGGCAGUAGGGUUGUAAAGCUCUUUUACCCGGGAUGAUAAUGACGGUACCGGGAGAAUAAGCUCCGGCUAACUCCGUG